ensembl:snRNA U6 U6 spliceosomal RNA
GUGCUCACUUUGGCAAUAUGUAUAGUAAAAUUAGAAAGAUACAGAGAUUAAUAACACAACCACCCUGUACAAGGAUGGCAUACACAUUUAUGCAGCGUUCCUUGUAUAU